GUGCUCACUUUGGUGGCACAUACAAUAAAAUUGGAAAGAUAUAGAGAUUGGCAUGAACCCCUGCACAAAGAUGACACACGCAUUCAUGAAACUGUCCAUAAAAAA
rnacentral:snRNA from 1 species